UUGUUUGAUUGAAGAAUGUGUGUUCUAGGUUUUGUUGCUGUUGUUACUUCUUUCUUUUAGUUCACUUCUGACAUGAACCUUGUCACACUGAUUGAAUUUUCCAUUUCUUAUUAUACUUUACCUAAAAUAUAAUAUUCUUAUAUUUUUGUAUCUAUUGUAUUCUAAAGCUCAUUAUGUUAUUUUUUUUACCCCCAGGAUACUGUAGUACUUGUUUGAUUCAGUGUUUGUUACGGGAAGAAAAGCUAUAUAUUCUGGAGUGCCUCUAAGAAGAGAUGAAGGAAGAAGUCCUCUUUGUAGGCCUUGAACUAUAGUUUUACCACUGAAAAAGAUUAUCUUAUUCUAAACCCAGUGAAAAAAAGGUGUUUUUUUUUCUUUGUUUGUUUUGUUUGUUUGUUUGUUUUAUCUACCUGUUUUUAAAAGGAUAUGUAAUGCAUGAUAGACGUAACAGAAAGAACUGUGCUUAUUCACCAAGGAUAAUCAGCUAGGUGUGCCAGCACACUGCCCACGACUUCCUGAACUGAUGAAACUAAAAAGACCAGCCACAGUGAUGAUAACUAACAUGUACAGAAACUUCUGCUCUGGGACUGUCUGCCUUGUAAGACAGUGUGAAAAAUACUAUGGGGCAACUAAGAAUGCCUGCUUGCGUGGCUUAUCAGCUCUCACUGAUACCUCACCUCAUCCCUCACAUAUCUGCUGUUGUUGUUCAGUAUCAGCUUUUCAUCUCGAGGUUAGUCAACUAGAUAGUACAUUUCCACUUCCUCAAGAAAUGUAGGUAUAGAUAAUAUUGAUA
rnacentral:lncRNA from 1 species